CCUACGGGAGGCUGCAGUGAGGAAUAUUGGUCAAUGGGCGCGAGCCUGAACCAGCCAAGUAGCGUGAAGGAUGACUGCCCUACGGGUUGUAAACCUCUUUUAUAAAGGAAUAAGGUGAAGCACGUGUCCCUUUGUGAUUGUACCUUAUGAAUAAGGAUCGGCUAACUCCGUGCCAGCAGCCGCGGUAAUACGGAGGAUGCGAGCGUUAUCCGGAUUUAUUGGGUUUAAAGGGAGCGUAGGUGGGGUGUUAAGUCAGUUGUGAAAGUUUGCGGCUCAACCGGAGGAUUGCAGUUGAUACUGGGAGCCUUGAGUGCAGUAGAGGUAGGCGGAAUGCGUGGUGUAGCGGUGAAAUGCUUAGAUAUCACGAAGAACUCCGAUUGCGAAGGCAGCCUACU
rnacentral:rRNA from 1 species